GACUCUCGGCAACGGAUAUCUAGGCUCUCGCAUCGAUGAAGAACGUAGCAAACUGCGAUACUUGGUGUGAAUUGCAGAAUCCCGUGAACCAUCGAGUCUUUGAACGCAAGUUGCGCCCGAAGCCACUAGGCCGAGGGCACGUCUGCCUGGGCGUCACGCAUCGC
rnacentral:rRNA from 1 species